CACGUAAUAGAUUUUAAAACACAAACCAAUAAUAUAUUUCAGCAUAAACAUAUCACUAGACAGGUAAUGUCUAAUCUAGUAAACAUUUCCAAUUAAUUUAUGAAUUAAAUCUUGCACAUACAUGCAAUAAAGUAUUUAUCAUAAUGUGCUGUAAAUAGCAUUAAAAGAAAGAUAUCAGUUUUACUGUUGUGCAUUAAUGUCAGUAGUGAUGUUGUACAAUGAGGACAGAAAUAGCCACCAGUGUUUAGUGAGCCACAGUGCUUACCAGUGCCUGAAUUUAUGUACACAAUAUAUUCACAACUUGGCAAACUGUGAAGCUGAUUGAGACGUAAACUCUGCAUGACAGUGGUCCUUAAGCCAAGCAGGAAAGUAAUGGGAGUUACCAGAUCAGGGUGUUUUUAGACCAUGAUACCUGAUUGGCUGACGUCAUAGUGACGAUGCUGGAGAAAAAACAGCGAGGCUAAAGCAUUCAAAGUGGAAACAUCUGGUGUGGCUCAUUAAUCCAGAAUUGGGAUGGAGCAAGGAGCAGAAGAACAGAGAUCAGGCAGAGAUCUACUGGUGCCCCUGUGGGAACCCAUUUACCUAAUGUGUUAGUUAAACCAAAGAUUUUCCUCACUCACCUUCAUGUUGUUCCAAGCCAGAAUUUUGUUCAUCUUUGAAACAUAAAUGCAGAACUUUUUAAUGAAAUCUGAGAAUUUUUUUUAUUUAUAAAAUAAUGCAUUCUCAAGAGCACCAUGAUGCAUCAGUUUUGCAUUUGCAUGAGAGCUGGCGCUUUGGUGCUUUUGUGAAAAUCCAUUGGGGAUUCAUAAUUUCUGAAUAGAUUUUUUUUGCUGUUGUUGUUUUUUGCGUACACAAGGCAUCUGUGAAAAAAAUCUUAAUUUGUGUUAUGCACAAAAGGGUGUUAUGGGUUUAAGGCAACAUGAGGGUAAGUAAUUAAUGACAGAAUUUAAAUUAUUGGUUGUUCUAAUGUGGUUAUAAUUGGUCAUAGUUUAUUAUCUUGAAAAAUUAUAUUUACACAGAAAGAUGGAUUAAUUUGAUAAGUUUAUAGUAAAGACUUUUAAAUUGAUAAAAAAAUCAAAAUAAAUACUACUCUUUUGCAAGGUCUAUUAAAAAAUACUGAUAAAUGUAAUGGUUUCCACAAAAUAUUGGGCAGCACAACUGUUUUAAACAUUGAUAAUAAUCAGAAAUGUUUCUUGAGCAGCAAAUCAGUAUAUUAUAAUGAUUUCUGAAGAUCAUGUAACACUGAAGACUGGAGUAAUUGUGUUAAAAAUUCAGUUUACAGGCAUAAAUUACAUUUUACAAUGCAUCCACAUAGAAAAUUAUUUCUGUAGUUAUAUUUCACAAUAUUACUGUUUUUACGGUCUGUUUAAUCAAAGGAGGCUUAAGAUGUGAUAAAGAAUUUACAUGAAAGAUGUCAUUUGUCAAUAAAUGUGUCAAUAUACUGUGAA